rnacentral:rRNA from 1 species
CCUACGGGUGGCAGCAGUGGGGAAUAUUGGGCAAUGGAGGCAACUCUGACCCAGCAACGCCGCGUGAAUGAUGAAGGUCUUCGGAUUGUAAAGUUCUGUGAUGGGGGAUGAACACAAUGACGGUACCACAAUAGCAAGCCACGGCUAACUACGUGCCAGCAGCCGCGGUAAUACGUAGGGGGCAAGCGUUAUCCGGAUUUACUGGGUGUAAAGGGAGCAUAGACGGUGCAGCAAGUCUGAUGUGAAAGGUCGGGGCCCAACCCCGGGACUGCAUUGGACACUGUUGAACUGGAGUACAGGGGAGGGAAGCGGAAUGCCUAGUGUAGCGGUGAAAUGCGUAGAUAUUAGGAGGAACACCAGUGGCGAAGGCAGCUUACUGGACUGUAACUGACGUUGAGGCUCGAAAGCGUGGGGAGCAAACAGGAUUAGAUACCCUUGUAGUC